AUUGAACGCUGGCGGCAUGGCUUACACAUGCAAGUCGAACGGUAACAGGUUAAGCUGACGAGUGGCGAACGGGUGAGUAAUGUAUCGGAACGUGCCCAGUCGUGGGGAUAACUGCUCGAAAGAGCAGCUAAUACCGCAUACGACCUGAGGGUGAAAGCGGGGAUCGCAAGACCUCGCGCGAUUGGAGCGACCGAUAUCAGAUUAGGUAGUUGGUGGGGUAAAGGCCUACAAGCCUACGAUCUGUAGCUGGUCUUAGAGGACGACCAGCCACACCUGGGACUGAGACACGGCCCAGACUCCUACGGGAGGCAGCAGUGGGGAAUAUU
rnacentral:rRNA from 1 species